AUAUAAAAAAGAAGAUGUGGUAUGAUUGCCAAUGAGACAACUAUCCACAAAAGACCAAAAACAUUAACAACUAUAGGUCACCGUACGGCCUUCAACAAUGAGCAAAGCCCAUACCGCAUAGUCAGCUAUAAAAGGCCCCGAUAAGACAAUGUAAAACAAUUCAAACGAGAAAACUAACGGCCUUAUUUAUGUAAAAAAAAAAAAAAUGAACGAAAAACAAAUAUGUAACACAUAAACAAACGACAACCACUGAAUUACAGGCUCCUGACUUUGGACAGGCACAUACAUAAAUAAUGUGGCGGGGUUAA
rnacentral:lncRNA from 1 species